UGGGGAAUUUUGGACAAUGGACGCAAGUCUGAUCCAGCCAUGCCGCGUGCGGGAAGAAGGCCUUCGGGUUGUAAACCGCUUUUGUCAGGGAAGAAACGGUUCUGGAUAAUACCUAGAGCUAAUGACGGUACCUGAAGAAUAAGCACCGGCUAACUACGUGCCAGCAGCCGCGGUAAUACGUAGGGUGCGAGCGUUAAUCGGAAUUACUGGGCGUAAAGCGUGCGCAGGCGGUUAUGCAAGACAGAUGUGAAAUCCCCGGGCUCAACCUGGGAACUGCAUUUGUGACUGCAUAGCUAGAGUACGGCAGAGGGGAUGGAAUUCCGCGUGUAGCAGUGAAAUGCGUAGAUAUGCGGAGGAACACCGAUGGCGAAGGCAAUCCCCUGGGCCUGUACUGACGCUCAUGCACGAAAGCGUGGGGAGCAAACA
rnacentral:rRNA from 1 species